rnacentral:tRNA from 1 species
CUCGAAAUAGCUCAGUGGUAGAGCGGCCGGCUCUUAACCGGCUGGACGCAGGUUCGAGCCCUGCUUUCGAGG